GAACCGCAUCAGGCCUGACACCCAUCCCAUUCCCCCCUAAACCCAGAACGAGAUCCAACCUCACUCCCCAGCCCCUUCCCGACCUCGCCGCUCAGGCUGUGAUGGGAAGGUCCCUGGGAGUGGGGAGGAGGGCAAAUUUAAACCCGGAGGGGAUCCUGUAGCCCAGUUCUCCUCGGUUCCCUAAACCUCCAGGAAAGCGGAGAAAGUCACAUUGUGGUGGCAGCAGCGGGUUUUUUUUUUAAUCUGUUAAUAAAACGCAAGUGAAUCAAAUCCGCCCUAAGGGAAUUUGGGGGGCGCGGCGAGGCAGAGGCCAUGGUGUUUGCAGAAGUUGGAAAUUUAAUAAGAAGGAAAAAUAAAAAUAGCCACUGUGCUGGAGAGAGAGAGAGAGAGAAGGUUGGGAGAAGCAGGCAAGUGUGGGACUCCUAGCUGGGUGGAAACGUGCAGAGGGGGCUGGGGAAGGCGAGGGCACCACUAGUCCGGAGGAGCAAGGGAGACACUGCUGGGGAUACCAGGAGGGGAGUCUUUGGGGUGUCACCAGAACAGUCCAGUUCCUUGGCAGAUUUUUCACCAGCAGUGAGCUGGGCACAGAGGUUGGGGUUUGGCCCUCUAAACACCUGGGUGUAGAGGUCCAGCCUCUGGUUACUUGGUCUUCACAGCGCCCCCCACCUUCUGAGCUACUCAAGAGAUGGGGGACAGUAGCAGUACUGCCAAGAACAGUUGUGCAAGUUGCGCACUGCACAAGCAUGCCAGACAGAGGCUAGAGCAGAAGCUAACAUCAUCUGUUCCCCUCACCACACAUUGCAUCUGCCCAGAGGAAGAGGUGCCGUGCUGGGCAGUGAAUGAAUGAACCUUGCCCUGGGGUUAACACUCCAGUGGGAUGAACAGACAAACCCCACAAGCACUGCAUACGGUGAAACAGGAAAAAACCACUAGAGCAGAGCUGGCAGACCCUCAACCUUCUUU
rnacentral:lncRNA from 1 species